UACGGGGGGGGUAAGCGUUGUUCGGAAUUACUGGGCGUAAAGCGCGUGUAGGCGGUCCGUUUAGUCGGCUGGGAAAGUCAAGGGCUCAACCCUUGAAUGCCGGUCGAUACUGUCGGACUAGAGUCCGGAAGAGGCAAGUGGAAUUCCCGGUGUAGCGGUGAAAUGCGUAGAUAUCUGGAGGAAUACCGGUGGCGAAGGCGGCAUCCUGGAGCGGCAUUGACGCUGAUGAGCGAAAGCUAGGGGAGCAAACGGG
rnacentral:rRNA from 1 species